UACGAAGGGUGCAAGCGUUGCUCGGAAUCACUGGGCGUAAAGGGUGCGUAGGCGGGUCUUUAAGUCAGGGGUGAAAUCCUGGAGCUCAACUCCAGAACUGCCUUUGAUACUGAGGAUCUUGAGUUCGGGAGAGGUGAGUGGAACUGCGAGUGUAGAGGUGAAAUUCGUAGAUAUUCGCAAGAACACCAGUGGCGAAGGCGGCUCACUGGCCCGAUACUGACGCUGAGGCACGAAAGCGUGGGGAGCAAACAGG
rnacentral:rRNA from 1 species